rnacentral:rRNA from 1 species
UACGUAGGCAGCGAGCGUUGUUCGGAGUUACUGGGCGUACAGGGUGUGUAGGCGGUUGUUUAAGUUUGGUGUGAAAUCUCCCGGCUCAACUGGGAGGGUGCGCCGAAUACUGAAUGACUAGAGUGCGGGAGAGGAAAGUGGAAUUCCUGGUGUAGCGGUGAAAUGCGUAGAUAUCAGGAGGAACACCGGUGGUGUAGACGGCUUUCUGGACCGUAACUGACGCUGAGACACGAAAGCGUGGGUAGCAAACAGG